rnacentral:rRNA from 1 species
AGAGUUUGAUCCUGGCUCAGAUUGAACGCUGGCGGCAGGCCUAACACAUGCAAGUCGAGCGGAAACGAGUUAACUGAACCUUCGGGGAACGUUAACGGCGUCGAGCGGCGGACGGGUGAGUAAUGCCUGGGAAAUUGCCCUGAUGUGGGGGAUAACCAUUGGAAACGAUGGCUAAUACCGCAUAAUAGCUUCGGCUCAAAGAGGGGGACCUUCGGGCCUCUCGCGUCAGGAUAUGCCCAGGUGGGAUUAGCUAGUUGGUGAGGUAAUGGCUCACCAAGGCGACGAUCCCUAGCUGGUCUGAGAGGAUGAUCAGCCACACUGGAACUGAGACACGGUCCAGACUCCUACGGGAGGCAGCAGUGGGGAAUAUUGCACAAUGGGCGCAAGCCUGAUGCAGCCAUGCCGCGUGUGUGAAGAAGGCCUUCGGGUUGUAAAGCACUUUCAGUCGUGAGGAAGGUGGUGUAGUUAAUAGCUGCAUCAUUUGACGUUAGCGACAGAAGAAGCACCGGCUAACUCCGUGCCAGCAGCCGCGGUAAUAC